rnacentral:misc_RNA from 1 species
CAGAAAAAGUUUUUACAGCUAACAUGAUCAAUUCAUUAAAUUGAAGAAAUGACAAUAGCUGAUUCCAAAAAGUCCGAUAUUUACUCAAUUGCGAACAAGUCAAAUGGUUCACGAGUUCAUACUGAGCUAUUGAGAUUAGAUGUUGGUAAGUUCAACCAAAGGCUUGAAAAUGCCCGAAAUUUGGCUAAAAAUUCCUUGCAAAUUGAAACAGAAAAAAACGAUGUUCGAAUUCGUCGUCGAUCUCGUUCAAUUGGUUGUUUACUUGAAAAAAUUGAUCAAUCAGAAAAUAACGAUAUUUUUAAUAAUCAACAAAAUCUUUUAAAAUCAAAAAAAAAAGUAAUCAAGACUACGAAAAAAGGGGAAGAAGAGAGCGAACAAAAAGUUGUAAUCAAAAAGAAAAAUAUAGCAACCAACGAACAAGAAGGCUUAUGUCUGUCAUCAUUACAGUUAUCGAAUGAUUUGAUUGAGCUACCGAUUCAAACAUAUGAAAAUGCAUCUUUCUCCGAAACCUCUUCAUUAUCUUCUUCUAUAGAAUUUGAGCUUAAUGCAAUUGAAAGUAUGAGAUUAAAAAACAGAAGAAAUGGAGUUGUUAUUAAUGCGUUUGAGAAACCAAAAAAGCAUCGCAAAACUCACUUUCAACUGAGAAAGUUUUCAUUGCAGAAUAUUGGAACUAAACAGACAAAACGAGUUCGUUGUUCUGUUCCUACCAAAGAAAACAUAAAAAGUUUAUCUGAGAACGAUCAUUUCUCUAAAAUGUUACCGGGAAUAUUUUAUUCAGGUAUUGGUUCAUUUCAAACAAUUUAUAAUGAAAAAUCGAAAAAAAAAAAUGACGAUUUAAAAUGUCAAUCUGAUUCUGAAACAAAACAUUUCAUGCAGAUAAAGAAAACUACGUCUCCGAGAAAAGGAUCGUUUUAUAAUAAUGAUAAUUUACCGAAUGAACCCAAAAAUGAAUAUAAGAAAAGUCUUCAUGUCAAUUCAAUUAUUUUAAAAAAAGGUUUAAGUAGAUCUUUACCCUCGAAUCUAAACAACGAAAAACUUUGGCUUGAUGACACACAUCACGAAUUACCCAAAAAAAGAGAAAAUUUUCAUAAAUGUUCAAUAGUGAGUUGCGGAGAUAAAGAAGGCAUUCUAGAAAAAUCUAGUUAUGAUGAUUUCAAAUUUAUUGAAUUAGAAAAGUUUAAAAUUGUUAUUGCUCAAAACCCUCUUAGUAACGAAACCAGUGAUUUUAUAAAAAAGAACAUCAGCCAUUCUUCUGCAAGUAUUGAUUUAGCAUUCUUUCAAAACCAAAAAGGAAAAAAAUGUCGAGUUAGAAAGUAUUUUUUUAGCUUUUUUAAAACCAAUAUGGAAUCAAAGUUAGUAUCGUAUCUUAGUAAUAAAAUUUAUGAACCAGAAGAAGUUGGAAAUUGGUGUCGAGAGUUAAGCGAAUCAAUAAAAAAUCAAAUAAUUCAUGUCACAGGAGAUGCGUAUAAGGUAACUUGCCAAAUUUUUAUCAGCGCUGUAUAUGAUAAAGGUGCUCAUAUUGCCACACAAUCUUCGCAUAAUAGUUUUACUGAUUAUCUUUUUACUGCAACAUACCGCGGAGAAGAACUUUUUGCAUUAGCAACAGCUGCAGUUGUAAUCAACAGUUGACUUUUUGUUAACGAUUCUUACUAAAAAUCAAAUUUAUUACCAUUAUUAUGGAAGAAGUAACAUACUAGAAAUUGAAAGCAGUUUUAUUUAUUCAUAGACGUCAAAGAACUCGGUUCAUAUAUAUAUUGCGAUUUAAAUAUUUUCAGGGCUAAUAUAUCGUAUUUAUAAAAAAUGUUUGUUAAGUAAUUUUAUCUACUUCUAUGCAACAAAUAUAAAAACAAUAGAAGCAGAAGAGUCAAACACCAAGCUUAGACUACUUCUCCUUCGAUUAAGAAAUAAAAAAUAUAUAUAUUUACAUUUUUGGAAUAGGAGAACUGCAUCUUAAAUUGAAAUCUUUUAUCAGAGCGAUUAUUGUUGUUUUGGCUAAAAGAAUAAAUGAACAAAGUAACUGAUUAUAUAAAC